GACGAACGCUGGCGGCGUGCUUAACACAUGCAAGUCGAACGAAGAGCGAUGGAAGCUUGCUUCUAUCAAUCUUAGUGGCGAACGGGUGAGUAACGCGUAAUCAACCUGCCCUUCAGAGGGGGACAACAGUUGGAAACGACUGCUAAUACCGCAUACGAUCUAAACUCGGCAUCGAGGAUAGAUGAAAGGUGGCCUCUACAUGUAAGCUAUCACUGAAGGAGGGGAUUGCGUCUGAUUAGCUAGUUGGAGGGGUAACGGCCCACCAAGGCGAUGAUCAGUAGCCGGUCUGAGAGGAUGAACGGCCACAUUGGGACUGAGACACGGCCCAGACUCCUACGGGAGGCAGCAGUGGGGAAUCUUCCGCAAUGGACGAAAGUCUGACGGAGCAACGCCGCGUGAGUGAUGACGGCCUUCGGGUUGUAAAGCUCUGUUAAUCGGGACGAAAGGCCUUCUUGCGAAUAGUGAGAAGGAUUGACGGUACCGGAAUAGAAAGCCACGGCUAACUACGCG
rnacentral:rRNA from 1 species